rnacentral:misc_RNA from 1 species
CAACAAAGUGAGGGAGGAAAGGCAAAUUGGGGCAGGUAAAGUGCCUGGCAUGCCAACUGAGUCAUCUAUGAGCAAUGCUCGCAAGCAAACCCCCAGCAACAGCUCCAAGAGUUGCUGCUUUCCUUGGGGCAGAAAGUGAUGUCUUGAGUACAUUUGUGAAAAAUUAUGAGGUGUGUGGAACUUGUAAAUACAUUGAAGGCUCUCUUCACGCAGAGUAACUUCGAGUAUAUUCUCUCUAUUUGCUUGGCAUUUUGUGAUGAUAAACAGUGUUUUGCUAGAAAUGUGUUCCUGUUCUUUUUGGUCUUAUAGUUUCCACUUACUUGCAGAUACAAAUUCUUUAAUUCUAAUCUAGAUAUUAUGUUUUCCUUUUCGUCUUGCUCUUCCAUUGAUUUUGAGAGAUACAUUGAUGAAAACAGCAGCCUUGCGUCGUCCUACCAAAUCUUUACAAGUAUAUAAAAUUUUCACUGUUCACAGGCUUGUUGAUGUUCAUAUUUGUGGUGAAGUGCUUUGCCACAAUCUAU